rnacentral:rRNA from 1 species
CAUGCAGGCGGUCGGACGCGUUUCCAGUGACAGCGGGUGGCUUACCUACCCGAGUAUUGGAAAGACGGUUCGACUUGAGGACUCGAGAGGGACACGGAAUUCCGGGUGGAGUGGUGAAAUGCGUAGAGAUCCGGAGGAACAUCGAAGGCGAAGGCAGUGUCCUGGCGAGUGACUGACGCUGAGGUGCGAAAGCUAGGGGAGCGAACGGGAUUAGAUACCCCGGUAGUCCUAGCCGUAAACGAUGACCACCAGGUGUGGGAGGUAUCGACCCCUUCUGUGCCGGAGGCAACCCACUAAGUGGUCCGCCUGGGGAGUACGGUCGCAAGAUUAAA